rnacentral:lncRNA from 1 species
AUUUCGCAUAGGGAACACUGUAAACUGGAAGAGGUGCAUAUUUCUUUGCAUUGAGGAGUAUACCACCUCAGUCUCGGGCUUCAUCAAUAAGUGCAUCAAUGAUAUCGUCCCCACAGGCAAAGCGUCAAUACAGGACUAAGAAUGAAUCCUACUACACCGGCUCUGACGCUCGUCUGAUGUAGCAGGGCAAACUAUUACGGACUACAAAGCGAAACCCAGCUGCGAGCUGCCCAGUGACGCGAGCCUACCAGACGGGCUAAAUGCCUUUUUAUGCUCGCUUCGAGGCAAGCAACACUGAAGCAUGCACAACUGUGUGAAAAAGGAUAUCAAUUAUUCAGAUCUGGAUUGACAAGUACGCUAAAUUACAAAACCUCUAGGGCUUAGUCUACACAAAUGAAAUAAAGGAUGCAGGACCUGAGCCCUAGGACCAUGCCUCAGGGCAGGACUACUUGGCCUGAUGACUCUUGGCUAUCCCUGUCCCCAGUCCACCUCGUCGUGCUGCUGAUCCUGUUUCUGUCUGCGGCUAUGGAACCCUGGGCUGCUCAGGACUCACCGGAAGUGCUACCUUGUCCCAGACCUGCUGUUUGAUCCUGUCUCUCUCUACCAGACCUGCUGUCUCAACUUCUAAAUGCUUAGCUAUGAAGAGUCAACUGUGAUUAUUAUUUGACUCUGCUGGUUAUCUAUGAAUGUUGAAAUGUCUUGAAGAACAAUCUGGUGUAAAUGGCUGAACUAUUUUAUAAUCUCCACCAGCACAGCCAGAAGUAGACUGGCCACCCCUCAGAGCCUGGCUCCUCUCUAGGUUUCUUACUAGGUUCCUGUCUUUCUAGGGAGUUUCUAGGGUGUCGAUGCAAAUAGUCUGGGGGGCCAUUUGAUUAAUUGUUCAGAAUUCUUAUGGCUCGGGGGGUAGAAGAUGUUAAGGAGCCAAGCGAUACCGGAGUUCCGGUACUGCUUGCCGUGCGGUAGCAGAGAGAACAGUCUAUGACUUGGGUGACUGGAGUCUUUGACAAUUUUUUUGGACCUUCCUCUGAACACCUAGUAUAGAGGUCCUUGAUGGCAGGAAGCUUGGCCCCAGUGAUGUACUGGGCCGUUCGCAUUACCCUCUGUAGUCCACGAUCAGCUCCUUUGUCUUGCUCACAUUGAGAGAGUGGUUGUUGAAGUGGCACGCUGAAACUUCCAGAGGCUUGUACACCUGAAGCAGUGUGAUGUGGUCCAGUUAAUUAUCACACACACUCACUCUGUUUUGUUGUAUAAUUAUUUUAACUUAAGAAAACUGUGCCUUUCUAUGUUAGAUCUGACACCCCUAUUUGCUCAACCACAGCCUUCACAGCUGCAGUCGUCUGCCCCUGCACCUGCUACACUGGCCGCAAAAGAUCUGCCAUGCACUCCACCACUGCCUGACAGCCUCACCCAGAAGUGCAUGCACUGGGCCUAUCAAGACUGAAAGCAGAGAUGGGUGGUUGAUAAGGAAAAAUAAAACACAACAUGCACACACUCUCUCUGUCUCUCUCACACACACACACGAUCCCCAAAGUAAAAACAUUGUAAUUACUUGUUUAUUUUAUGUACGCUACACUUUAUUUUAGGAUUGGAGAUAUCUACGCCUGAAAAACAUGCCUCCCUCUCUCACACAUCAGACCCAAUGUAAAUACAUUUGUUUAUUUUAUGUAUGCUACGUUUUAUUUGAGGAUUGUGUGCAACAAAGUACAUUCACAGUUAAGCAACAGUUUGGUUCAUUGGAUAUUUAUCUGAUUAAAAUGAAUGACCAAAAGGAAGUUGGCAAACC